AGACCGAUAGCGAACAAGUAGAGUGAUCGAAAGAUGAAAAGCACUUUGAAAAGAGAGUUAAACAGUAUGUGAAAUUGUUGAAAGGGAAGCGCUUACAACCAGACUUGAGCGCGACGGUUCCCCCUUCCUUUUGGUUGGGCUACUCCGUCGUGUCCAGGCCAACAUCGGUUUUGGGGGUCGGUUAAAGGCGCCGGGAAUGUAUCUACCCUUCGGGCGUAGACUUAUAGCCCGGCGUGUCAUGCGACCUCCCGGGACCGAGGAACGCGCUUCGGCUCGGAUGUUGGCGUAAUGGUUGUCAGCNACCCGUCUUGAAACACGGACCAAG
rnacentral:rRNA from 1 species